rnacentral:rRNA from 1 species
UACGUAGGGUGCAAGCGUUGUCCGGAAUUAUUGGGCGUAAAGAGCUCGUAGGCGGUUCGUCGCGUCGGCUGUGAAAACCUGGGGCUCAACCCCAGGCCUGCAGUCGAUACGGGCAGACUAGAGUCCGGCAGGGGAGACUGGAAUUCCUGGUGUAGCGGUGAAAUGCGCAGAUAUCAGGAGGAACACCGGUGGCGAAGGCGGGUCUCUGGGCCGGAACUGGCGCUGAGGAGCGAAAGCGUGGGGAGCGAACAGG